GUUUAAGGCGACAGAUAAAACACCUGACUAAGAAUCAGGAGAUUCCAGGUUCGAAUCUUGG
rnacentral:tRNA from 1 species